AUCAUGCAAUCACAACUGUUUCUAUGAGCAGUAUCUCUGAAACUGUUAAUACAUUUUAUUCAAGGUUAUCUUUUCCCUGAGUGAAGAAUUUUGCACCUAACUGCACCCAAUACUACUUGACUGCUGAAGUUUCUGGCAAAAAGGAAUCUUUCGUGAAGAUCAGGAUCACUCCAGUCUGGGAGAUAUUAAUGGUCCUUGAAACUGCAGACAUACCCUGGCAAAGAGAUUAAAGCCUGAGCUUUUAACUUCAGUAAGUCAUUGUAGGCUUGAGAGAGGAUGUGUUAUUGAAUACCUGGAUCUGAGAGAACAAGUGCUACAAACUCACUCAGAGUUUACGGGUGCCAGUGUUCCUCCAUUUCAACAGGAACCAGAGAUUUAUGGUUAUGGAUGGACUGAAUAGCAAAGAAACUCACCCAAAAUGUUUUGUCUCAUAAUUUGCUGACC
rnacentral:lncRNA from 1 species